UACGUAGGAGACGAGCGUUGUCCGGAAUUACUGGGCGUAAAGCGCGUGUAGGCGGAUGAGCAAGUCUGCUGUGAAAGCUCCUGGCUUAACCGGGAGUGGUCGGUGGAAACUGCUCGUCUGGAGGACGGUAGAGGUAGGUAGAAUUCCCGGUGUAGUGGUGAAAUGCGUAGAGAUCGGGAGGAAUACCUGUGGCGAAGGCGGCGACCUGGGCAGAUACUGACACUGAGGUGCGAAAGCGUGGGGAGCAAACAGG
rnacentral:rRNA from 1 species